rnacentral:rRNA from 1 species
AUUGAACGCUGGCGGUAUGCUUAAGACAUGCAAGUCGUGCGGUAGAAGGCUUCGGCCUUUGAGAGCGGCGGACGGGUGAGUAACACGUGGGAAUCUGCCUAUUAGUGGGGGACAGCCCAGCGAAAGCUGGAUUAAUACCGCAUACGCCCUACGGGGGAAAGCAGCAAUGCGCUAAUAGAUGAGCCCGCGUAAGAUUAGCUAGUUGGUAAGGUAAAGGCUUACCAAGGCGACGAUCUUUAGCUGGUCUGAGAGGAUGGUCAGCCACACUGGGACUGAGACACGGCCCAGACUCCUACGGGAGGCAGCAGUGGGGAAUAUUGGACAAUGGGGGAAACCCUGAUCCAGCAAUGCCGCGUGAGUGAUGAAGGCCUUCGGGUUGUAAAGCUCUUUUGUCAGGGACGAUGAUGACGGUACCUGACGAAUAAGCUCCGGCUAACUUCGUGCCAGCAGACGCGGUAAUGUAGUCGUGU